UACGGAGGGGGCUAGCGUUGUUCGGAAUUACUGGGCGUAAAGCGCACGUAGGCGGAUUUGUAAGUCAGGGGUGAAAUCCCGGGGCUCAACCUCGGAACUGCCUUUGAUACUGCAAGUCUUGAGUCCGAUAGAGGUGAGUGGAAUUCCUAGUGUAGAGGUGAAAUUCGUAGAUAUUAGGAAGAACACCAGUGGCGAAGGCGGCAUCCUGGACCGGUAUUGACGCUGAGGCGCGAAAGCCAGGGGAGCAAACGGG
rnacentral:rRNA from 1 species